CAGCACCUCAAGUGGUCAGGAUGAUUAUUGGGCCUAAAGCAUCCGUAGCCGGCUCUGUAAGUUUUCGGUUAAAUCUGUAUGCUCAACAUACAGGCUGCCGGGAAUACUGCAGAGCUAGGGAGUGGGAGAGGUAGACGGUACUCGGUAGGAAGGGGUAAAACCCUUUGAUCUAUUGAUGACCACCUGUGGCGAAGGCGGUCUACCAGAACACGUCCGACGGUGAGGGAUGAAAGCUGGGGGAGCAAACCGGAUUAGAUACCCGCGUAGUCC
rnacentral:rRNA from 1 species